rnacentral:tRNA from 1 species
GCCCAGGUAGCUCAGUUGGUAGAGCAGAGGACUGAAAAUCCUUGUGUCGGUGGUUCAAAUCCGCCCCUGGGCACCA